GAUGAACGCUGGCGGCGUGCUUAACACAUGCAAGUCGAACGAUGAAGCCCGUGCUUGCACGGGUGGAUUAGUGGCGAACGGGUGAGUAUCACGUGAGUAACCUGCCCUUGACUCUGGGAUAAGCCUGGGAAACUGGGUCUAAUACCGGAUAUGACCAGUCCUCGCAUGAGGUGCUGGUGGAAAGAUUUUAUCGGUCUUGGAUGGACUCGCGGCCUAUCAGCUAGACGGCGAGGUAACGGCUCACCGUGGCGAUGACGGGUAGCCGGCCUGAGAGGGUGACCGGCCACACUGGGACUGAGACACGGCCCAGACUCCUACGGGAGGCAGCAGUGGGGAAUAUUGCACAAUGGGCGCAAGCCUGAUGCAGCGACGCCGCGUGCGGGAUGACGGCCUUCGGGUUGUAAACCGCUUUCAGCAGGGAAGAAGCUUUUGUGACGGUACCUGCAGAAGAAGCGCCGGCUAACUACGUGCCAGCAGCCGCGGUAAUACGUAGGGCGCGAGCGUUAUCCGGAAUUAUUGGGCGUAAAGAGCUCGUAGGCGGCUUGUCGCGUCUGCUGUGAAAGCCCGGGGCUUAACCCCGGGUGUGCAGUGGGUACGGGCAGGCUAGAGUGCAGUAGGGGAGACUGGAAUUCCUGGUGUAGCGGUGAAAUGCGCUGAUAUCAGGAGGAACACCGAUGGCGAAAGCAGGUCUCUGGGCUGUUACUGACGCUGAGGAGCGAAAGCAUGGGGAGCGAACAGGAUUUAGAUACCCUGGUAGUCCAUGCCGUAAACGUUGGGCACUAGGUGUGGGGGGACAUUCCACGUUUUCCGCGCCGUAGCUAACGCAUUAAGUGCCCCGCCUGGGGAGUACGGCCGCAAG
rnacentral:rRNA from 1 species